CCUAUGUGAAACCGAAGUGCAUAGCAUCCUGUAAAGAUAUAUUUGAACGAUAGCCAAACAUCAUCCUGGAAUAUAAAUUAUUUGUUGAAGAGAUGUGAAUCCAAUCUUUAAGGAAUCUUAGAUAAAAGGCAAAAAUACAAUUAAUGGAAUACAAUUGGACGUAAUCGUUCUGGAAGUUAAUUACUCCACUUGAAAGUGACAUACCAUCUCCGUCACUCGUAUCAUCCAACCACACAUCAAAAGUCAUAACGAUAUUUCUGUUUAAAUUUGUACUGAAAAACAAAGUAAGAUACACACGAUGGUUACAGAUAUAUAAUUAAUACAUAGAAUAUGUUAUUUUUGCGAAGUUUAUUGCA